GAGGAAAGACCUCCGGUGUCCCAGAGACUGGUGUGGCCUGCAGCUCCCACAGGCCUCUUAGAAAUGUCCCAGGAAUGCCUGCAUGGUGUUUUUCUGGGGUGCUUGUGUAUGCCUGCAUGUGUCAUCGCCUGGGUGAGGUGCUUGCCAAGAGGUUGUGAGCUGGCUGGCCUGGAGCCUGACCUGUCUUCUCCUUGCUUUCCAGAGACUGAGGCUAUCUGGGAUGCUGUAUCCGAGUACAUUCUGGAAGAGCUGAAGUGGGAUAAGGGCGUUCAGGUUGCGGGACUCGGGACCUUUGCUGUUGUCCAAGAGCAAUUCCUUGGCAAACAAGAGCUGCUCUUGGUUCGAAGACCUUUCUUCCAGCUGGACAUCGAUGAGUUGUGGCUGGAGGAGAUCUACUGUCCCACCGAGAUCCUCCCUGAUGGCGUCAAGAUUGAGCCGCUGAACUACGUGCAGCUAUCGCAAGCCACCUCCUUCCCACUGCACGUGGUGAAGAACUGUGUGCAAGAGACCAUCCUCUUGUACUGCUUCCUCCUGAGGAGCAAGGAGCACGUCCCCUUUGGCUUCAGGGACAUUGGUGUUUUGACGUGCGAAGAUGGUUUCCUCUGCAUGAAGUUUUAUCUGGACUGUGUCAAACGUCUGGAGAGCACUGCGGGCCUGGUUGCACUGCUCCACAGUGUUUCAUCUGACUGUGAGGAGAAGGCCAGAGGCCAAAGUUUCCACCACCUCGCAGGAGGAAGCUGCAGGAGAGCGCAGGACCAGAAGAGUUUCAGAGUGCCAUCCUGACAACCUGCUGCAGAGGAGGAAGAAGCUUUCCCUCCCCAUACUGACAAGCUGGGAGCCGGGCACAAGGCAGCAAGAUCUGGAGAAGAAGCCUUCUACCAGUGUGUUCCCCCCGUGUCCAGGCAGCUCCCCCGGGACGAAGAAGGCAGACAGGCAGGAAACAGCUCCUCGAGCCAUGUCCACCACCACUGCGCUCCCUGCUCCUGAAGCCUCCAGGAGAGCGCUGCAGGUACCUGCUCUGCCUUGCGGCAAUGACCGUGCUGUUUGGGCCUGUACAAAAGCCUCUUUGUGUGGAGCGAUCCCGAGCAGGUCCCUUGGGAUGCGUUCAUUUUCACAUUUGUUACCUCCUUCAUCUCUUCCUCAGGAGAUGGAAGGUGACGUCCCGCACACCUUCCCUGCCUCUUACUGCCUCCCAUGUUGCCAUGAUCCACUUCAUUUUGACCAGGGGCCAUGGAAAAGGAACAAGGCCUUUCUGGGUCAUUGAUGGCAGAGGGCUUUGGUCACCGCGGGCUGUUCAGCUGUGUUUGUCACGAGUUGAGGAGCCUGGCCUAGCUUCAGGGCCCCUCAUCCUUGAGGGUCAAAGCACUGCUGACAGACCGGCUGAGGCGAGGGGGCAGGAGUGCGGGUUAGGCCUGAGGGACAGCUGAGACCAAUCCUGUCUGCUGUUGUGUUUGUUUUUUUUUUUUUUUCCUCCAGGAGGUCUGGAACCUGUCUUGGCAGUGGGACCAGACAGACAGCUCAUGGCCCACGUACCAAAAGCAACAAGAGCAAGCCCGGGCAGAAAUGGCUGCAUGGGAAGCCUGGUCUGAGGGGGAGGACCAACAGAUACCCCAGGUACUGGCAGUGAUCAACACCGCUGAGAACAGCAGCGAUCCUCUCCGCCAGGGCUCCGAGGGCAGCAGCGAUUCAACAGUCAACAUGCUUGGACUCCCCGUCCUCCAGCCCAGCCCAGGAGCAAGGAGGUCAGGAAGAGGUGGAGGAAGGCUGAGAACCCUGCUCCAGCAGAGGAUUUGGGAGCAGCAGCCAAGCUGGAGAGACUCCAGCCUGAGUAAGUGUGUGCCGGCUCCGUUCCCGUCCUGGGGCACUGGAGUAGCUGUUGAGCGAUGUCAGGACAUGUCCAGGAGCCCGGUCCCUGAGU